rnacentral:tRNA from 1 species
GCUCCAGUGGCACAAUGGGUUAGCGUGUGGUACUGAUAAUGCCAAGGUUGUGAGUUCAAGUCUCACCUGGAGCA